rnacentral:rRNA from 1 species
AGCGUAGGCGGAUUUUUAAGUGAGAUGUGAAAUACUCGGGCUUAACCUGAGUGCUGCAUUUCAAACUGGAAGUCUAGAGUGCAGGAGAGGAGAAGGGAAUUCCUAGUGUAGCGGUGAAAUGCGUAGAGAUUAGGAAGAACACCAGUGGCGAAGGCGCUUCUCUGGACUGUAACUGACGCUGAGGCUCGAAAGCAUGGGUAGCGAACA